rnacentral:tRNA from 1 species
GCCAACGUAGCUUAGUCGGGAGAGCGCUGGACUGAAGAUCCAGUUGUCGGGAGUUCAAAUCUCCCCGUUGGCA